GCCUCCGUAGCUCAGUGGAUAGAGCAACCGCCUUCUAAGCGGUUGGUCGCAGGUUCGAUCCCUGCCGGGGGCGCCA
rnacentral:tRNA from 2 species